CAUGAUUUAUAUAUUUAAUGGCCGCGGUAUUUUGACCGUGCGAAGGUAGCGUAAUCAUUAGCCUAUUUAUUGUGGGAUAGUAUGAAUGGUUUGACGAAAUAUUGACUGUCUCAUUUUAAUUAUUUAAAAUUUAAUUUUUGAGUUAAAAAGCUUAAGUUUUUUUAAAGGACGAGAAGACCCUAUAGAUCUUUAUUAUUUAUUUUUUAAUAUUUUUUAGUUUAUUUUAUUAUUUUUUUAUUUAUUAUUUUGUUGGGGUGAUGUUAGGAUAUAUUUAACUCCUUUUUUUUUUAUCAUUUAUUUUUGUUUUUUUGAUCUUUUAUUAUUGCUUAUAAGAAUAAGAUACCUUAGGGAUAACAGCGUAAUUCUCUUUGAGAGUUCAUAUUGACAAUGGAGUUUGCGACCUCGAUGUUGAAUUAAGAUUAUUUUUAGGUGAAGUAGCUUAAUUAUUAAGUCUGUUCGACUUUUAAUAUCUUACAUGAUCUGAGU
rnacentral:rRNA from 2 species